AGCAGCCGCGGUAAUUCCAGCUCCAAUAGCGUAUAUUAAAGUUGUUGCAGUUAAAAGCUCGUAGUUGAAUUUCGGGACCAAUCUGCCGGUCGUGCCUCCGGUACGCACUGGUUUUAUUGGUUUCUCCCUUCUGACGAACCAUGAUGUCAUUAAUUUGGUGUCAUGGGGAAUCAGGACUGUUACUUUGAAAAAAUUAGAGUGUUUAUAGCAGGCUCACGCUUGAAUACAUUAGCAUGGAAUAAUGAAAUAGGACGUUUGACCCUAUUUUGUUGGUUUCUAGGAUCGACGUAAUGAUUAAUAGGGAUAGUUGGGGGCAUUAGUAUUCAAUUGUCAGAGGUGAAAUUCUUGGAUUUAUUGAAGACUAACUACUGCGAAAGCAUUUGCCAAGGAUGUUUUCAUUAAUCAAGAACGAAAGUUAGGGGAUCGAAGACGAUCAGAUACCGUCGUAGUCUUAACCAUAAACUAUGCCGACUAGGGAUCGGACGAAGUUAAUUUUAUAAUGACGUGUUCGGCACCUUAC
rnacentral:rRNA from 1 species